UACGGAGGGCGCAAGCGUUGUUCGGAAUCACUGGGCGUAAAGCGCACGUAGGCGGCGCGUUAAGUCAGGGGUGAAAUCCUGGAGCUCAACUCCAGAACUGCCUUUGAUACUGGCGUGCUCGAGUGUGGGAGAGGUUGGUGGAACUCCGAGUGUAGAGGUGAAAUUCGUAGAUAUUCGGAAGAACACCAGUGGCGAAGGCGGCCAACUGGCCCAUUACUGACGCUGAGGUGCGAAAGCGUGGGGAGCAAACAGG
rnacentral:rRNA from 1 species